rnacentral:rRNA from 1 species
AACGCACCUUGCGCCCCUUGGUAAUCCGAGGGGCAUGCCUGUUUGAGUGUCUUGAAGCCCUCAAACCCAAGGUUCUCCUUUAAUGGGGGUUUACUUUGAGGUUUGGAUUUGGACCUUUGCCGGUCGCGUUGCGCGUCGGCUUGUCCUAAAUGCAUUAGCUGGCUGCUGAGGUUGGUGACCUGGUGUGAUAAAGUCACUCGCCGGCGUCGCCUCCUUGGUUGGUGGUCGCUUCGAACCGUCCUGUGCGGGACACAUCUUAAGCGUUUGACCUCAAAUCAGGUAGGACUACCCGCUGAACUUAA